rnacentral:rRNA from 1 species
AACGAACGCUGGCGGCAGGCCUAACACAUGCAAGUCGAACGUGAAGCCACCUUCGGGUGGUGGAAAGUGGCAGACGGGUGAGUAACGCGUGGGAACGUGCCUUUCGGUUCGGGAUAACCCAGGGAAACUUGGGCUAAUACCGGAUACGCCCUUCGGGGGAAAGAUUCAUUGCCGAAAGAUCGGCCCGCGUCGGAUUAGCUAGUUGGUGGGGUAAAAGCCUACCAAGGCGACGAUCCGUAGCUGGUCUGAGAGGAUGACCAGCCACACUGGGACUGAGACACGGCCCAGACUCCUACGGGAGGCAGCAGUGGGGAAUAUUGGACAAUGGGCGCAAGCCUGAUCCAGCUAUGCCGCGUGGGUGAAGAAGGCCCUAGGGUUGUAAACCCCUUUCAGCGGGGAAGAUAAUGACGGUACCCGCAGAAGAAGCCCCGGCUAACUCCGUGCCAGCAGCCGCGGUAACAC